rnacentral:rRNA from 1 species
GAUGAACGCUGGCGGCGUGCCUAAUACAUGCAAGUCGAGCGAACGGACGAGAAGCUUGCUUCUCUGAUGUUAGCGGCGGACGGGUGAGUAACACGUGGAUAACCUACCUAUAAGACUGGGAUAACUUCGGGAAACCGGAGCUAAUACCGGAUAAUAUUUUGAACCGCAUGGUUCAAAAGUGAAAGACGGUCUUGCUGUCACUUAUAGAUGGAUCCGCGCUGCAUUAGCUAGUUGGUAAGGUAACGGCUUACCAAGGCAACGAUGCAUAGCCGACCUGAGAGGGUGAUCGGCCACACUGGAACUGAGACACGGUCCAGACUCCUACGGGAGGCAGCAGUAGGGAAUCUUCCGCAAUGGGCGAAAGCCUGACGGAGCAACGCCGCGUGAGUGAUGAAGGUCUUCGGAUCGUAAAACUCUGUUAUUAGGGAAGAACAUAUGUGUAAGUAACUGUGCACAUCUUGACGGUACCUAAUCAGAAAGCCACGGCUAACUACGUGCCAGCAGCCGCGGUAAUACGUAGGUGGCAAGCGUUAUCCGGAAUUAUUGGGCGUAAAGCGCGCGUAGGCGGUUUUUUAAGUCUGAUGUGAAAGCCCACGGCUCAACCGUGGAGGGUCAUUGGAAACUGGAAAACUUGAGUGCAGAAGAGGAAAGUGGAAUUCCAUGUGUAGCGGUGAAAUGCUCAGAGAUAUGGAGGAACACCAGUGGCGAAGGCGACUUUCUGGUCUGUAACUGACGCUGAUGUGCGAAAGCGUGGGGAUCAAACAGGAUUAGAUACCUUGGUAGUCCACGCCGUAAACGAUGAGUGCUAAGUGUUAGGGGGUUUCCGCCCCUUAGUGCUGCAGCUAACGCAUUAAGCACUCCGCCUGGGGAGUACGACCGCAAGGUUGAAACUCAAAGGAAUUGACGGGGACCCGCACAAGCGGUGGAGCAUGUGGUUUAAUUCGAAGCAACGCGAAGAACCUUACCAAAUCUUGACAUCCUUUGACAACUCUAGAGAUAGAGCCUUCCCCUUCGGGGGACAAAGUGACAGGUGGUGCAUGGUUGUCGUCAGCUCGUGUCGUGAGAUGUUGGGUUAAGUCCCGCAACGAGCGCAACCCUUAAGCUUAGUUGCCAUCAUUAAGUUGGGCACUCUAAGUUGACUGCCGGUGACAAACCGGAGGAAGGUGGGGAUGACGUCAAAUCAUCAUGCCCCUUAUGAUUUGGGCUACACACGUGCUACAAUGGACAAUACAAAGGGCAGCGAAACCGCGAGGUCAAGCAAAUCCCAUAAAGUUGUUCUCAGUUCGGAUUGUAGUCUGCAACUCGACUACAUGAAGCUGGAAUCGCUAGUAAUCGUAGAUCAGCAUGCUACGGUGAAUACGUUCCCGGGUCU